rnacentral:rRNA from 1 species
AGUGAACGCUGGCGGUAGGCCUAACACAUGCAAGUCGAACGGCAGCACAGUAAGAGCUUGCUCUUACGGGUGGCGAGUGGCGGACGGGUGAGGAAUACAUCGGAAUCUACUUUUUCGUGGGGGAUAACGUAGGGAAACUUACGCUAAUACCGCAUACGACCUACGGGUGAAAGCAGGGGAUCUUCGGACCUUGCGCGAUUGAAUGAGCCGAUGUCGGAUUAGCUAGUUGGCGGGGUAAAGGCCCACCAAGGCGACGAUCCGUAGCUGGUCUGAGAGGAUGAUCAGCCACACUGGAACUGAGGCACGGUCCAGACUCCUACGGGAGGCAGCAGUGGGGAAUAUUGGACAAUGGGCGCAAGACUGAUCCAGCCAUACCGCGUGGGUGAAGAAGGCCUUCGGGUUGUAAAGCCCUUUUGUUGGGAAAGAAAAGCAGCAGGUUAAUACCCCGCUGUUCUGACGGUACCCGAAGAAUAAGCACCGGCUAACUUCGUG